GUGGGGAAUAUUCCGCAAUGGACGAAAGUCUGACGGAGCAACGCCGCGUGAGUGAUGAAGGUUUUCGGACUGUAAAGCUCUGUUGUUUAGGACGAAAGUGCCUGUUGCGAACAGUUACAGGUAUUGACGGUACUAAACGAGGAAGCCACGGCUAACUACGUGCCAGCAGCCGCGGUAAUACGUAGGUGGCAAGCGUUGUCCGGAAUUAUUGGGCGUAAAGAGCAUGUAGGCGGAGAUUUAAGUCUGUUGUGAAAAUGCGGGGCUCAACCCCGUAUUGCGAUGGAAACUGAAUUGCUUGAGUGCAGGAGAGGAAAGGGGAAUUCCCAGUGUAGCGGUGAAAUGCGUAGAGAUCGGGAGGAACACCAGUGGCGAAGGCGGCUUACUGGACUGUAACUGACGCUGAGGCGCGAAAGUGUGGGGAGCAAACAGGAUUAGAAACCCCUGUAGUCC
rnacentral:rRNA from 1 species